rnacentral:rRNA from 1 species
UACGUAGGGUCCGAGCGUUGUCCGGAAUUACUGGGCGUAAAGAGCUCGUAGGUGGUUUGUCGCGUUGUUCGUGAAAACUCACAGCUCAACUGUGGGCGUGCGGGCGAUACGGGCAGACUAGAGUACUGCAGGGGAGACUGGAAUUCCUGGCGUAGCGGUGGAAUGCGCAGAUAUCAGGAGGAACACCGGUGGCGAAGGCGGGUCUCUGGGACGGUACUGACGCUGAGACGCGAAAGCGUGGGGAGCGAACAGG